AACGAACGCUGGCGGCAGGCUUAACACAUGCAAGUCGAACGGGCACCUUCGGGUGUCAGUGGCAGACGGGUGAGUAACGCGUGGGAACGUACCCUUCGGUUCGGAAUAACCCAGGGAAACUUGGGCUAAUACCGGAUACGUCCGUAAGGAGAAAGAUUUAUUGCCGAAGGAUCGGCCCGCGUCGGAUUAGCUAGUUGGUGGGGUAAUGGCCCACCAAGGCGACGAUCCGUAGCUGGUCUGAGAGGAUGANCAGCCACACUGGGACUGAGACACGGCCCAGACUCCUACGGGAGGCAGCAGUGGGGAAUAUUGGACAAUGGGCGAAAGCCUGAUCCAGCCAUGCCGCGUGAGUGAAGAAGGCCUUAGGGUUGUAAAGCUCUUUCAGCGGGGAAGAUAAUGACGGUACCCGCAGAAGAA
rnacentral:rRNA from 1 species